UGGCUAAGCAUGAGGCUGAGCUUGCUUAUGCCUGGGCACAAAGGUAGACUAAGUUCUGGAAUCAUCAGAAGGGGAAUCAGGGCGUGUCUGAAGGUUCCCCUUCCCUGGGAGUGUUCCAGAAUUUUCCAGCACAGAGACCAUCUCACCAGCUGCCUGACAACUCUCAACACCAAGCAAGAUCAAAAGCUGCCCACUUUGGUCAAUUCUGCCAGUGGAAAUUGCUCCCCUGGCAGCCUCCAGCUCUGUCUGCUUGUGACUGACCCACAAGUGGCUUUUUAGCUAUCAUACAUUUUUUUCCUCCUUUCUGCCUUUGCAAGGGACAAAAUUUCAGCUGCUGGAUGAGUGUUAACCUGCAAACUGGAGAAAGUGCAUGGUGGCAGGAAGCUUGCACCUGCAAGGAAGGAAAGCAACACCAGCAAACUUGUACUUUAAAAAAAAAAAAAAAAAAAAAAAAAAAAAAAAAAAAAAAAAAAAAAAAAAAAGAGAAAACUGUGAGAUUCCUUUUCCGCACUGUUAUUUGUGUUUUGCUUCAGCUGUGUCUUGGAUGUGAGGCUGGGUGUUAAAAUCAGAGAUCUUUGAGGGCUUCAGGACACAGCUCAGGCUUGACCACAGCACAAAGCAACAUCAGCAGCAAACACAGGGGCGACACUUAGAGCUACCAGGGAAUUGCCAAAUCAGGCAGCUGAAUCCCAUUUUAGGUCUUCACAUCCAAAAUCCAAGCCCUAGAUAUUAAUUUUCAUCCAGUGCUGAUGUUUGUCAUCAUCUGUCAGGCUCUGGCCAAACUGCCCAAGCCACUGCAGUGGCAUCACUCCCCACUGCCCCCAGCACUUGUGGUUUAUCUAGCUUGGGUUUCUUCUGCCAUCCCAUGGCCUGCUCACCCCACACCAUGAUCCCACUGCUGCUUUUUUGCUUUUAGUGACUCUGGAAAACACAUGUGUUCCCUGCAAUUGCCCGUUUUGUGUGUUCUGGAAGGAUUUCUGCUCACGGUGGAUGGUGCAGAGAACACUGUUGCAGCUGGGACAUGCUGACCUCCCUUCAGACUGUGAGGUCUGGAUAAACAGCCUUCAACUUGCAUUCUUUAGAGCAGUGUUAGCUUCUGCAGAGGCAGAUUAGGUCUCAAAGAUGUCCUUCUCCCCUCGCUCAGAGCCUUCCUCUAGCCUUGGUUCCGUAUCAGAGUCCUCUGUUCUGCAGAAACAGCAGCCCUGGUGUCACGGAAAGGGGGCCACUCCAAGGCUGAAGCCUCUUUCUCAGUUGGUUAAAAU
rnacentral:lncRNA from 1 species